rnacentral:lncRNA from 1 species
GUUUGGUUUGCCAUCACUUUUUGUGACUUUUCUGACAUCUGCAAGUGUCGGAAGUGUGACCUGAAACAUUUAAGGACACUUCUGCCUGAACCAUGGGCAGAUGUUUAGACUCCAAGAUACAGAGGAGGAGGGUCUUGGAGGUUUCUUAGUAUAAGUUCCUCCCUGUGGUACUUGCAGUUCCUACAAGGGGCUGUCAGAGAAACAAGCCGGAGAAGAGCAAGACAUGGUCCUGGUGCAUGAAAGGAGCCUAAGAAAGAAGAGUGAAAGCUGCACGUGUGUGAGUAUCUAGCAGAACAUCUAGAAAAUGCACACCAACCUCCAGCAGCAGAAAACAGUCUACCUCCAGAAAGCCAUAAAAGAGAAAAGAAUGUUGUACCAAACUAAGCAAAUGAAGCAUGAAAUGAAAAGCCGGUUGAGCUGGGAGGUAUAAAGAAUGGAAAGGAAGCAGCUACCACCCCUGGUAACCCCAUCAAUCCGGAGAAGCUUCGCAGAGUUACACUGUGCUCUGUCGGAGGAAGUCUAAAAUAACACAUGGGUGUCUCGGCCUUGGCACAGCUAAACCCUGGAACAUUGAACUGAAGUCAUAACAAUGGAGCAUCCUGGCAGGCAUCCACUGUGCCAUAUGCUUUCGGGAAGUCUGGAUGCUGAAUGUGGUGGCUGUGGGGAAUUGAGCCUUAUUGCUUCAUAAGAUUCCUGGUGGUAGAACUAUUCUGAACAAGAACACGUCCGUCCCCAUAGGUGUGCUCCAAGAAUCACAGAAUAAGAAGGGACUUCGGAGAGAGCCUCACACAGUUGGGCAAUGGGAGCCCAGAGAGGCAAGGAAGGCUCCUUGCCCAAAGUCUUGUACAUCUGAAUCUGCAACUCCUGACUAUUUUUGAGUCUUAUGCUCCAGGCUAAAACUUGUGACUUUAAGUGUGAUGUUCUCGGUGAUGAUUAAUCUAGGAUGUUUCUGUUGUUUUCUUACCGUCAAAGAAUUAACAUCAAAAGGAAAGGAAGGAAGAAAUGUAGAAGUGAAGGCAAGAAGGAAGGAAGGAGGAAAGGAAGGAAGGAAAAUAUAGGCUUUGGGUAAAAAUAAGUUUCUACUCAACACUGACAAAGGUACAGGUUUUGGACAUUGGUUUCCUAAUCUGUAAAUGAGGAAUAGUCAUCACAUCGCUGUCCUGGCUGGUUUUGUGUGUCAACUUGACACAAGCUGGAGUUAUCACAGAGAAAGGAAAGAAAAUGCCUCCAUGAGAUCUAGCUGUAAAUGGAUUAGUGAUCAAGAGUGGGAGGGCCCAGUGUGGGUGGUGCCAUCCCUGGACUGGUGGUCCUGGGUUCUACAAGAAAACAAGCUGAGCAAGCCAGGGGAAGCAAGCCAGGGGAACAUCCCUCCACGGCUCUGCAUCAGCUCCUGCUUCCUGCCCUGUGUGAGUUCCAGUCCUGACUUCCUUUGGUGACGAACAGCAAUGUGAUAGUAUAAGCUGAAUAAACCCUUUCCUCCCCAAC